UCUUAUCAGACUUAUGGUUGGCUUAGUGUUCUAUUGUAAUGUCGUUAACGUGAGGAAUCUAGAAAAUAUCCAAAAAUAGUUAUACCUAAUGAUCUUAUUACUUUUUUUCUCUUUUUAGUUUUGUUCUUAAAUAUUCUUCUUUUUUUGAACUAUUUUUGCAACUGCAUGUAGCCAUGCUGCAUUCCAUAUGCAUCAAAGUGCUGUGAUUUUCAUUCAUCUUUUUUCAUCUACCUUUGUUUUUUGAGAAAAGUUUUUACAAAAUUUUAUAUCUUACAAAAUUUCUAUUUAGAUAUUUUGAUGCACAUGCUACUUUGUGG
rnacentral:lncRNA from 1 species